UACGUAGGGCGCAAGCGUUGUCCGGAAUUAUUGGGCGUAAAGAGCUAGUAGGCGGUUUGUCGCGUCUGCUGUGAAAUCCCGAGGCUCAACCUCGGGCUUGCAGUGGGUACGGGCAGACUAGAGUGCGGUAGGGGAGACUGGAAUUCCUGGUGUAGCGGUGGAAUGCGCAGAUAUCAGGAGGAACACCGAUGGCGAAGGCAGGUCUCUGGGCCGCAACUGACGCUGAGGAGCGAAAGCAUGGGGAGCGAACAGG
rnacentral:rRNA from 1 species